AAUAGAUACCCCGGUAGUCCACGCCGUAAACGAUGAGUGCUAAGUGUUAGAGGGUUUCCGCCCUUUAGUGCUGCAGCUAACGCAUUAAGCACUCCGCCUGGGGAGUACGGUCGCAAGACUGAAACUCAAAGGAAUUGACGGGGGCCCGCACAAGCGGUGGAGCAUGUGGUUUAAUUCGAAGCAACGCGAAGAACCUUACCAGGUCUUGACAUCCCACUGACCGGUAUAGAGAUAUACCUUUCCCUUCGGGGACAGUGGUGACAGGUGGUGCGUGGUUGUCGUCAGCUCGUGUCGUGAGAUGUUGGGUUAAGUCCCGCAACGAGCGCAACCCUUGAUCUUAGUUGCCAGCAUUUAGUUGGGCACUCUAAGGUGACUGCCGGUGACAAACCGGAGGAAGGUGGGGAUGACGUCAAAUCAUCAUGCCCCUUAUGACCUGGGCUACACACGUGCUACAAUGGAUGGUACAAAGGGCUGCAAGACUGCGAAGUCAAGCCAAUCCCAUAAAACCAUUCUCAGUUCGGAUUGCAGGCUG
rnacentral:rRNA from 1 species